ACAAUGAUGGUCAUGUCUCCUCUCAACCUUCUCUUGAGAGAAGGUUGAGAGGAGGCUUCACACCACCAGCUCCCUAUGCCACUGCUCAUAGGCCAUGACAUCCACACUUUUGAUCAUGGAUAACUGAUUUCCAUUCUUGCAUGGAAUCUUGAAAUUUUAAUAAAUGAUACAAACACCAGGGGAAAAAUAGAAGCUGUUAUCCACAAUUGCAGAACAGGAGAUGGAAUUUUGUUUUGUUUUUUAAAGGAAAAUGUUUCUCUAAUGUCAGAAAACCUUGGUGAAGAGAAUCUUGAACUGAAAAGAAUCUUCACAGUUUAGGGCCUAUUUACACAAACUUCACACAAAUAAAUGUAAGUGUGUGUGUGUGUGUGUGUGUAUAAACACAUGCAGUGCACAGACAUAAGAAUUUUGUGGUGCUUCUGGGUAGUUUUGUGGAAAAUGCUGUAGGCCAAAAAACAAACAAAAAUAACCCACAAAAUGACAUGUGAAUUGUACGCUGAAUAAGUUCCAAGCUCUGUGUGGUUUUCAGAAUUUUUACAUCGUUCAUUUGUUUUUAAAGACAUUUCCAGAGAAGAAAUCUAAAAUUACCUGUUGCUUCCUUCAAUAAUGAAAUUAAUGAAGAAUUGCAUCCCUAGUAAAUAUACACAUUGAGUGUAGACCCAGUUAUGUGACAAUACCUUUCUUUAGUUUUUUAAACUUAAAAGUGACUUGGGGAGAAGAGGGAGGGUGGAUGAGGGAAGAUUUUAAAUUGUGAUUUGUUGUCUGAACUGUGAUAUUGUAUAAAUUAUAUAUAUCAAAAAGACAACAUCAUUUUAAUUUGUUUAGAUACAUCCAGUAUUUAUAUGAUUCUAUUUAUGGCUCAAUGAUCUGUGUUGCUUGUAAAUACUUUUGUGCAUCAGAAAAACUGUAAAUAAAUUAGAUGUUAAUUAUUGACUGCAGAGUUUUGAUAAGGAGUACUCAAGAAUGUUUGUAUGAUGAAGCUUCCUCCCCGCCCCCGCCCCCCAUUCCCCUUCUUUGACUCUUCCCAUGCUUCAGUUAAUUUCAUUUUUAAGAGACCAGCCACAUCGCAACAACUUGGUAGGGGGUUGUCAACCUUUCUCCCAGUUUCCAGCAAGCCCUGUGAUGCGAAUAAGUAAAGUUCAACCUGCUUUUCCUUUUCUUUUGAGUAAAACAAAUUCAUACUUCUUCUCCAUCUACAAUAGCUUUUCUUUCACACAUGCCAUGCCCCCUUCUUUAUGUGCAGCUGCCAACUAAUUACCAUGCUGCUAACCUUAGCAACACUGAUGCCAGACUUUUGCACUGCAGCUAUUGACAGAGUCUGUACAGAACUGAAUGCUGCCUAGCAGAAGGAAUAAUUGCAAAAUGAGAUGCUGCCUUCAAUUAUCACGAAUGCUAGCUGCUGCCAACUGCAGUGAGAGUUUCUCAGAUACACAUCAAGGAGUGGGUCUUCUGUCAUCAGUUUUGGGAUGAAGAGUCUCUCCUACUUACUCUUUUUAGGUGAGCUUGCUAUCCAUUACCCAUGUAUGGUGUACUCAGGGACCAUGUUCAAAAAGACCAGAUGGACCACCUGUCACUUUGGUUUUUAAGAUGUCAUCUCUGUGAAUUCACUCACAACCCACCAUUCCUGCCUGCUUUGUCACAUUUAAAGUUACUUGUUAUUUUUUCUGCGUAGGCUGAUAAAUCCUCCUCCUCCUCUCUCUUUCCUGGAUGCAUUUUGGAAGAAUAUCUCAAGUGAUCUCUAAAAGUUUCAAAAUGUUUAUGUUAACAUAUGUACAGCUUGCUUGACCUGGUUGUUCACUUCACAUAUACAUAUUGUAAACUUGAAUAAAAAGUCUGCUGAAAAAGCUUGAA